GUAUAUUUCACAUAAUAAGACAUUCUAAACUCGUUUGAGAGGUUGUGGAAAAUGACAUAGACCUGGAAGGCAAAAAGGCAAAGCCGGCCUUUCAAAGAAAAGCAACAGCAGUCCCUACUCGAAUGAGAACAUUCAUAAAAGGCCUUUCCAGGAUCUACAAAAUGUGCACAGUUGGAGAAAUAAUAAAGAUGAGACAAGCGUGCACACACCCCCCCCAAGAGAGGGGCCAGCAACAGCCUGUUCAAGUUUAUAAUACGAUAAUGAUCCUUCCGCAGGUUCACCUACGGAAA
rnacentral:misc_RNA from 1 species